AACGAACGCUGGCGGCAGGCUUAACACAUGCAAGUCGAACGCCCCGCAAGGGGAGUGGCAGACGGGUGAGUAACGCGUGGGAAUCUACCUAGUUCUACGGAACAACACAGGGAAACUUGUGCUAAUACCGUAUACGCCCUACGGGGGAAAGAUUUAUCGGAAUUAGAUGAGCCCGCGUAAGAUUAGCUAGUUGGUGGGUAAUGGCCUACCAAGGCGACGAUCUUUAGCUGGUCUGAGAGGAUGAUCAGCCACACUGGGACGGAGACACGGCCCAGACUCCUACGGGAGGCAGCAGUGGGGAAUAUUGGACAAUGGGCGAAAGCUUGAUCCAGCCAUGCCGCGUGAGUGAUGAAGGCCUUAGGGUUGUAAAGCUCUUUCAGUAGGGAAGAUAAUGACGGUACCUACAGAAGAAGCCCCGGCUAACUUCGUGCCAGCCGCCGCCGUAACAC
rnacentral:rRNA from 1 species